rfam:Nomascus leucogenys chromosome 14, whole genome shotgun sequence.
CAGUGCAGUCACCCAUAAAGUAGAAAGCACUACUAACAGCACUGGAGGGUGUAGUGUUUCCUACUUUAUGGAUGAGUGUACUGU